rnacentral:rRNA from 1 species
UGGGGAAUUUUGGACAAUGGGCGAAAGCCUGAUCCAGCAAUGCCGCGUGUGUGAAGAAGGCCUUCGGGUUGUAAAGCACUUUUGUCCGGAAAGAAAUGGCUCUGGUUAAUACCUGGGGUCGAUGACGGUACCGGAAGAAUAAGGACCGGCUAACUACGUGCCAGCAGCCGCGGUAAUACGUAGGGUCCAAGCGUUAAUCGGAAUUACUGGGCGUAAAGCGUGCGCAGGCGGUUGUGCAAGACCGAUGUGAAAUCCCCGAGCUUAACUUGGGAAUUGCAUUGGUGACUGCACGGCUAGAGUGUGUCAGAGGGGGGUAGAAUUCCACUUGUAGCAGUGAAAUGCGUAGAGAUGUGGAGGACUACCGAUGGCGAAGGCAGCCCCCUGGGAUAACACUGACGCUCAUGCACGAAAGCGUGGGGAGCAAACAGG